CUUACUGAUGCAAAGGCUACACUUAAUGCUGCGACUGCUGGUGGAGUGAGAUAUAAAAUCAGCCAUCCUAUACCGAGGAUGGUAAUGGUGAUUCUUUACAGAAACAAAUACACUAAUUUACAAUGGAAGAAGACAACAUUUAUUCUGGUGCCUUGGGACUCUUGAACAA